rnacentral:rRNA from 1 species
CCUACGGGGAGCAGCAGUAGGGAAUAUUGGGCAAUGGAGGCAACUCUGACCCAGCCAUGCCGCGUGCAGGAUGAAGGCGUCAGCGUUGUAAACUGCUUUUACUGGUGAAGCGGUAUCCAGGGAAUAAGCACCGGCUAACUCCGUGCCAGCAGCCGCGGUAAUACGGAGGGUGCAAGCGUUGUCCGGAUUUAUUGGGUUUAAAGGGUGCGUAGGUGGUCAUUUAAGUCUGAUUUGAAAGCAGGCGGCUUAACCGUCUGAUGUGGUUGGAAACUGAAUGACUUGAAUGGGUUGGCGGUAGCCGGAAUGGGUCAUGUAGCGGUGAAAUGCAUAGAUAUGACCCGGAUCACCGAUUGCGAAGGCAGGCUACUACGACUUAUUGACACUGAGGCACGAGAGCAUGGGUAGCGAACAGGAUUAGAUACCCCUGUAGUC